UCUCCAAAUCAAUACCACUACUGCCGCUACCACAAACUCCGUCAAUGUCAUUCUCUAUUACGAAUCGCUGCCAUGACUUCUGAGGAAGAUGAAUCGCCGCCCUAACCUCACUUCACCCCUUAACUCCCUCCUCGUCAUUCACUCCGCCUCGAUUUUAGUUCAAGGAAGUCACGACUCUCACCGAAGAUCGAAGCCAUGCCGAAAGGGAGUAUAUGAUGCAUUGCAGAAGAAAUACCUGAAAACACUCUUAUUAUUUGUGUGUGAAGCAAUGGAUGGGUCCAUGAUUGAGGAAUAUGCUUGUCUUAAAGGAUGGUUGGCUUGUUGGAGCAGCAGUUCUUGGGGUUCCUGCUAAAUCAACAAUUAAAGAGGCAAAUAAUGAAUCAUUUGUUGUGAGAACUCUAAACCGGAAAACCCUAUGGGAAAUGCAAACUCCACAGCACUUGUAAUCAAGCCCGAGCCCCUUAAGAAGGGGCUUGAGCUUAUCAAUAGGGAAGGUCUUGAAGUCACAGAUGGUGUAUCUACUAUUGUGGAGCUCCUUAAACAUCCAAUCUACAUUACUGAAAGCUCUUAUGCUAACAUCAAGGUUACAACACCUGAUGAUAUGCUGCGAGCUGAGAGAAUAUUGAACGCGCGCUUCAAUUAUGCAUAAUUAAAUUGAUCCCAUAUUUUGUAUCCAUCCAUCCAUGUACAGUGAGUGAGAAUUUUGUAAUGCCAAGAUUUCAAGAUAUGUUGGCUUCCAUUUAUACUAACCAAUGAUUUUAGAUAUGAAAUAGUUUGGUUUAACCAUGAUCUAAUUUAGCAUUUUGGCUACAGUCUCAUUCAGCUAUUCAAAUUCUGAUAGCCAAGAAGUUAUGAUGAAUGUGAAUCGUAUUGAAACCAAGAAGCGAGGAACAUUCAAAUGUAAUUCAGACACUGAGAUAACUCCCAAUCAGAUGAGCAAAUUGACUGUGUGCACAACAGUACGGUCAUGGAAUUGAUGAGAGGAUUGAUUAAUCAAUUGACUGAGCUCAUAUAUGGUUUGGCUGUUCAAGAUUUGGCUCCAAUGAGCUUGGGUUUAUCUGACAGCCUUUCAAGAUACAAGCUAAUUAAAAUUUAGCCCUGAUAAGGUGGAUACAAUGAUAGUCCAAGCAAUUAGUGUAUUGGACGAUCUUGAUAAAGAACUAAACACAUAUGCAAUGAGGGUACGAGAAUGGUAUGGUUGGCAUUUUCCUGAGCUUGCAAAGAUAGUACAAGACAAUAUCCUUUAUGCCAAAACUGUGAAGUUGAUGGGUGACCGCACAAAUGCUGCAAAGCUGGACUUCUCUGAGGUACGAACCAGGUCUGCUUUAAUAGCAAACGUCUUAUCAAACGUCUCCAAAGAGAGAUCUGGCAAAACAUUGGAGCCAUAUUCGUGUGAUGUUUGUAUUCCAUGUAAAAUGUAAAUGCUAUCUCUAGAAGUUUUGGAGGAUAUGAACUACCUCUGUUUUAAAAAACUCAACCUAUUUAUAAUGUUGUGUAAUCCUAUUUCAAAUUUCAAAUCUGUAGAACAGAUGAUACCAUGGUUUGUAGAAAUGAUGAUUCUCGAUAAUGAAAGCAGGCUAUGCAUAUUAACCACGCUU